UACAGAGGUGGCAAGCGUUGUUCGGAAUUACUGGGCGUAAAGCGUGCGUAGACGGUUAUGUAAGUUAGGUGUGAAAGCCCCGGGCUCAACCUGGGAAUUGCAUUUAAGACUGCAUAGCUAGGGUGCGGAAGAGGGAAGCGGAAUUUCCGGUGUAGCGGUGAAAUGCGUAGAUAUCGGAAGGAACAUCAGUGGCGAAAGCGGCUUCCUGGUCCAGCACCGACGUUCAGGCACGAAAGCGUGGGGAGCAAACAGG
rnacentral:rRNA from 1 species